rnacentral:tRNA from 1 species
AUUUAUUUAGUAUACUAGUACAUUUGACUUCCAAUCAAAAAGAUUGAUUACUCAAAAUAAAUA